UCCUAAUAUGUCUUCUAGUCAUUCUAAUUGUGCUAAUUAAUGAUGCAAAAAUAGUAAAGAGUGGGAUAAGUAAGCAGGAGGCAACGCAGUUGGCUAGUUGGCUUUAUUUUAGCUGAGCAGUCAAAUAAAAAUGUACCUGCCACCAAACAUCUACAGUAUUUGACCAGUGCGUGGACUUUAGCCUUCAAGGUCUCAAAGGUCUAACAUUGUGCGACAUUCAUUAGCUUUGUGAAUGCUUGCUUCAGGCUCGAGGAUGAAAAUGUGCUUCAGCUGUGUGUCGUCAUUUAAUACAUGUGUUUAUCCUCAGUAAAUGAGCCAGAUCUCCCAGUACAUUUAUCCAGUCCAGUCAGGCCGCUUUGUUGCAGUGGUCCUGCCACACCUCAGAGCAUGAAUGGUUAUGCAAAGUCAUCGGGCAGUCAUAUUAGAUCGGUACAGCAAGUCGUCUCAAGAGCCCAGAUUCAUGUCUGAGCUGCAUGUCUUUAUGUCUUUUAUUUCUCGCUCGUUUUUCAAGGGAAAGCUCUUCUAGCUAGAUAGACCUUUGACCUGGCCUGUUGAAUUUGAGAUACGUGAUCUUGUACCAAAAGGUUCACUAGCAGCUGAGGUAAAAGUAGCCAAGUAAGCAUCUGGGAGAGCAGGCAGCAUGUAGACUAAAAUUGCAAGCCAGAACACAAUCUCCCCACAGGACAUUUGCAGGGAACAUUUGAGGCAGAGGCAGUAUAAACCAGCCUGAACAAGUAAGGACUCUGGUUUGCUGAGAUCAACACACCCUUCUUGCUAGGCUCCCAGCCCACUCUCUUCCCCUGCUCCUUUGCCCGCGCUCCUGUUUUGGCAGUCAUGCGAUACCGUACUGCAUGAAGGCGAUCAGAAUCUCCUCUUUUCAGUGGUCCGCCCUCGCCCUGUCUUGAUUUCGACAUCCCGCUCUACUCUCGUACAGUAGAUGUCUUAGUUUGAGGCUCGGUCAGUUGAACAAAGGACUAAAAGGGAAACGUUAUGACCAUAAAGCUCCUUUUACUGUGUUUUUUUGAAAAAGUGAAAAGAGAAAGGCAUAGAAUCACCAUUUGGUAUGAUGCCAAUGAGUCGAUCUGAAGGGAUUAAGCUUUUCAUUUAUUAACACUGACCACCUAUGUUGCUGAGUCAUCAUAACUUGAAUAUUUGCUCUUCGAACUUGCCUUACGCAGUUUGCACAGCCACACAUCUGCGUGUCAGGGAGUGGCAUUUCCAUUUAAUGACCGUAGAACCACGUGGAUCUACAUUUUCUGCUUCUUUUUCUUGUUUGCAAAGGGAAUCAUGUCAUAAGCUUUUGACAUUUUGUUGCAUUACGACCAAAAGCCUCAGUGUGGCAUACCAACACAAUGUUGUGCAUCCAAUGGAAGGAAAGGAAUACAUUGUUUUUACCAUUUUAAGAAAUAAACAUCUAAAAAUGAGGCGUACAUUUGAAUUGAGCUACUGUAACUUGCUGAACAAACCUUUUCAGUGAUUACACCUGCAACUCUUUUUGGGAUAUGUCGCAACAAGCUUUGCACACUUGGAGGUUGGGAUUGUUUUUUGUUGUUUUUUUUAUCAUAUUCUUCUUGUCAGGACUUUUGCUGCCUCUGACAAGGUUUUGUCCGUUUGCUGUUCUUCUGCGAUGCCAUGCUGCGUCUGCGUUUGGACACUGUAAUGAAGGUCUUCAUUACUUAGCUGGAAACACUUAAAAUGUGGGUUGAAUGAUAAAAGAAACAGGGUGUUCAGGCUCAAAGAGUCCCCAGGGGCCCGAGCACCUUAUAAAGGUUCCGGAAGAGACCAAUGCAGAUGGAAGAGGGGGAGCAAUAGAACGAUGCACUUUACACGUUUAAUGUUGGAUUUUUAUUUAUAGAAAUGUCCUUUUAGAAAUUUAAUGUCUGUUUAAAAAUGAAUAGUAUUUGCUAAUAUUAUUCUGAAUAUUUGGUUGUUUUUGUCAAGUUUGUUUGUGUGUAUGUAUUUUGUAUUCCCCUUUGUCUUGGUGGGUUUGUUAAUUGGAGCCGCCAGAGACUAUAAAAGGCUGCAUGUUGGGUGGAUGCUGCUGAGACCCCAAGGCCAUUGUAAGCAGGGUUGUCUGUGUGAACCUGUUAAAUGUUGGUGAAUAAACACCCAGUGGGUCUGCACCGUU